GCUCACGCUGGGCCUCGUCGGGCGCCGCGCAGCCUCAGCCUGGGAGGAGAUGUGCCCAGUCCGUCCACGCAGCAACACGGUCAAUUUUUGCUCUAAUGGAGAUGCUGGGACCUCCUGCUGGACUCCCAGGCCCCCAGAAAGGUAUCAAACUAAGGCCAACUUCAGUGGUUAGCUCAUGAAACUGUCAGGCAGUCUGAAUAAUGAAGCCAAGGAGACAGAAGCCACAG